GAGAGUUAAAUAGUACGUGAAAUUGUUGAAAGGGAAACGAUUGAAGUCAGUCAUGCUAGUGAAAAUUCAGUUUGGUGGGUUUUGGGUUCAGGAGUUGAGGCAGGGUCAAACCGUUUCUCUUUUGAACUUGGAAUUUGUCAGAUGCACUUUUUCUUUGGCAGGUCAGCGUCGAUUUCGGAGGUUGUAAAAUACUUGGGGAAAAGUAGCUCUGCUUCGGGAGAGUGUUAUAGACCUUGGGUGAUGCGGCCUGCGGGAUCGAGGAUUGCAGCAAAUGCUUUUGGCUUGUCGCCUGAUCUCUGGACGUCAUCUCGCUUGUAUCAACAUUCUUGCCACCUGUGGGUACUAAUGCCCAUUAGGUUAGAGCGAUCAAAAAUUUUGCUAAGGAUGCUGACGUAAUGGCUUUAAACGA
rnacentral:rRNA from 1 species